rnacentral:rRNA from 1 species
UACAGAGGUCUCGAGCGUUGUUCGGAUUCAUUGGGCGUAAAGGGUGCGUAGGUGGCACUGUAAGUCGGGUGUGAAAUCCUGAGGCUUAACCUCGGAACUGCAUUCGAUACUGCGGUGCUUGAGGACUGGAGAGGAGAGUGGAAUUCCUGGUGAGCGGUGAAAUGCGCAGAUAUCAGGAAGAACACCCGUGGCGAAGGCGGUCUC